UGCAGUCGAACGGUAACAGGUCUUCGGAUGCUGACGAGUGGCGAACGGGUGAGUAAUGCAUCGGAACGUGCCCAGUCGUGGGGGAUAACGUAGCGAAAGCUACGCUAAUACCGCAUACGAUCUAUGGAUGAAAGCGGGGGACCGUAAGGCCUCGCGCGAUUGGAGCGGCCGAUGUCAGAUUAGGUAGUUGGUGGGGUAAAGGCUCACCAAGCCAACGAUCUGUAGCUGGUCUGAGAGGACGACCAGCCACACUGGAACUGAGACACGGUCCAGACUCCUACGGGAGGCAGCAGUGGGGAAUUUUGGACAAUGGGCGCAAGCCUGAUCCAGCAAUGCCGCGUGCAGGAAGAAGGCCUUCGGGUUGUAAACUGCUUUUGUACGGAACGAAACGGUCUGAGUUAAUACCUCGGGCUAAUGACGGUACCGUAAGAAUAAGCACCGGCUAACUACGUGCCAGCAGCCGCGGUAAUACGUAGGGUGCAAGCGUUAAUCGGAAUUACUGGGCGUAAAGCGUGCGCAGGCGGUUUUGUAAGACAGUCGUGAAAUCCCCGGGCUCAACCUGGGAAUUGCGAUUGUGACUGCAAGGCUGGAGUGCGGCAGAGGGGGAUGGAAUUCCGCGUGUAGCAGUGAAAUGCGUAGAUAUGCGGAGGAACACCGAUGGCGAAGGCAAUCCCCUGGGCCUGCACUGACGCUCAUGCACGAAAGCGUGGGGAGCAAACAGGAUUAGAUACCCUGGUAGUCCACGCCCUAAACGAUGUCAACUGGUUGUUGGGUCUCUUCUGACUCAGUAACGAAGCUACGCGUG
rnacentral:rRNA from 1 species